GAACAUAUGGCUUAGCGGUCAGAGCGCUUAGACUGUCUCCAAGAGACGUGGAUUCAAAUCGCGCUACGUUAA
rnacentral:tRNA from 1 species